CUUCUCAUGGCGUAGUGGUAACGCGCCCCAACUAGUGAUCGGGGAGUCGUGAGUUCGAUUCUUACUGAGAAGA
rfam:Aedes aegypti strain Liverpool supercont1.474 genomic scaffold, whole genome shotgun sequence.